rnacentral:rRNA from 1 species
CGAACCGUGCAAACGUUGUUCGGAAUCACUGGGCUUAAAGGGCGCGUAGGCGGAUGAGCAAGUCUGUGGUGAAAUCCCCCGGCUUAACCGGGGAACUGCCGUGGAUACUGCCCAUCUCGAGGAAGAGUAGGGGCGUCUGGAACUAGCGGUGGAGCGGUGAAAUGCGUUGAUAUCGCUAGGAACUCCGGUGGCGAAGGCGAGACGCUGGAUCUUUUCUGACGCUGAGGCGCGAAAGCCAGGGGAGCGAACGGGAUUAGAUACCCCGGUAGUCCUGGCCCUAAACGAUGAGAACUGGAUAGCGGGCUUGACAUAGGCACGCUGUCGGAGCAAAGUGUUAAGUUCUCCGCCUGGGGAGUAUGGUCGCAAGGCUG